GAGAGAGAGAGAGAGAGGGAGAUAAGUUGGAACAAGAGGAUAGCUGAUCCUACCUUUCCCCAGUGAUGGGCUCAAAAAAGCAAAGAAUACACAGAGAGGAGCUUCCGUGUUUUCUAGAGAAAACAUCAUAAACUUGUUUUCUACAAGUAGUCAUAACUUAGUUAAGUAGAAAAUUAGUUCAGUUUCCUAUUUUGGAUAAUUUGUACAUUUGAACACAAUAUUCUAUUUUUCAGUUUUUUGGAAAAUUUUUCCAGAAAACUGCUUUAAUUUUCUACUAGUGAACACACCCCAUAUUUUUCUACUAAAUUUUCUACUGUGCAUUCUUCUUAAAAUCUUCCUCUUAGGGAAUUUAUGAUUUAUUAAUACCCAAACAAUUUUCAUUUUAUAGGGAAUUUUCUUGUUUACGAACUUAUUUGCCUUCAGCUUAGUAAGUACGAGGAAUUUUUCUUAUCUAGGAGAUGGUCCUCAUAAAACAAUCAAAAGUAGUCACAUAAAUAAAUAUUUAUGGAACCUAGUUACUUUCUUAGGCUAUGACUACUGAAAUAUUAGAUGGAUAUAGUUAUACACUUAAAAUCUAUUGAUGCCAUAAAAGAAAAAUUACUCAAUUAUUUAAAAAAAAAAAAUUCAAUCAAAUUUUCUUGUAUCUUUUUUUUAUCCUAAAUUAAGACUUAGUGGUUUAUGUGAUUAUUUGAUAAAAAUAUUAUGGAAGCUUGAAAAUAAAAAUAUUCUUAAAAUUUCUCAAGGGGUAAGAUAACUACUUCUUGAUAUAUACAAAACCAAUAGUGCAGCUUGUUCAGCCAUAAACCCCAUUCUUCUUCCCAUUUUAAUUGAAGUUCAACCAUUCAUGCAAGGCCAGCACGAGUAACAAAUAUUGAUGCAACAGCAUAAAAAAAAUCAAGAUGUCUAUGUAAUCUACCUAAAAUUGAUCUAUAUCUUCUGAAUUUGGCGAUAGAUUUUAUUUGAUUUUUCUCAUCCUUCAAUGGUAGAAAAAAAAAAUGAAUUUCAAUUUCCAAUUUUAAGCACGAAUGCAAAGGAAGUACUUCCAAUGCUGAUUUCAAUAUUCACAAUUGAACAAGCUGUUUAGUGCAGACGAGAAAGUUACUAGACAAUACCAGAUCCAGUUUGAACCCAAAAUUAUUAGAAACACAAGCAUGCAUUAAGAAUUGGACCAAGGCUACACAUAAGCAAUAAGAAAAUACAAUCGAGUCUACCAAUUAUAACUUCAUACGUCAAGACACAAUGGGAAUAAAUGAGGAAUAAGGUAAUUUGGGGAUUGUUAUAAAGAUGAAAACUGCGAGAAUUUUAAUUCUAUGAUGCACAGGCAGCUAGGCAUCUUAAUAAAUGACUAAAAUCAAGCCUAAGUAAUUUUUAUUUAUUUUUUUUGCUUUCAUUUGCAAAUACAUAUUUUUUUUGCAUCUUUGUAAUUAAAACAUAUAUGUACAAGAUAAUAAUAAUAAUAAUAAUA
rnacentral:misc_RNA from 1 species